CGUUGAGUUCAUCUUCCCUGGGAAAUGCCUGUUAGGUGGAUUUUGCAAAAGGUGGGGAAAGCAACCAGAGAGAGAGAGAGUCAUUGCCAGCAGCCAAGUUAAAAGAAGCAUCAGCACCACCCUGCCUGACCUGGCCCAACAGAUAGAUACUAAGAUGCCAUGUUCUACUGUGACAAGGGAGCCAUGCUAUCUGGAGUUAACUUAGUAAGGAGAAUACUUUAAGAUUAAGCAUUUAGGGGGAGCACAGUAGACAGAGAGCUGGGCAAGGAGUGAGGAUAACUGAAAUUCAAAUCUGGC
rnacentral:lncRNA from 1 species